GGAGGGUCCUGGAGCAGCCCUGCCAGGCCUACCCUGGACUGUGUGCCUCUGGACCAAGCAGGAGAGAGACGCAAACUCACGCGAGGGACCUUUGUGACAGCAGCUGAACCCUAUGCCUGGUGGCGCUGCUUUCAAACAACCUGUAUUCGGAUCACAUCUGAGUAAGGCCUCCCAAGCUGCAGACGAUGCCUUUGACAACAGUUUGUUCCUCAGGGUUCCCCAGAGGAAGGGGCGUGCCACACUGUGCAGGGCCAAGCGAAGAAGCCCCUGGAGGAGGGACAAUGGUGACAGAUGGCUUUAUGGUGGUUUCUGCAGGAGGGAACCAGCUAGGCAGCGUGGCAGCUCAGGAUCGGCUGGUGUGGCUACUUCUAGGACUCGGGGGCCCAGGAGCUGGCCCCUGGUCCUGGCCCUGGGGUGAGGCCAGCAGGCAGACAGUGGAGGAGGAGGGCCUGUUCACAGAAAGGAGGUGGGAGGGGCCAGGCUCUGGGUUGGUUGGUUUCUCUGUGUCCCAGGGCCCCGAGAAGGAGGAAUCUUCCUGGGGGCUGGAGGAGGUGGUGACAAGUUCGAGAGGCCAAGGGAAAGCGCCUCAGGACCAGUCAGGUGGAAAUGGGCGCCUUUGGGUCAGGGCCCCGCGUGUUUCCAGAGCGCCCUCCCUGGGCCCAGCUGUGUGAGGCUUCGGGAUGCUGUGGAAGAAACAGGAUGGUCUCUGCCUUGACUGGCCCCGUUGGCAAUGUCCCCGGGGUCCUCCAGCCCCUUCUGGGGACCAGCCGUGCUCUGUCUGAUCAAAUCUGAAUGAGCCCUGGAGGAGUCCGGGUGAGCCGUGCAGGUUGGUUUUGGGGGGGUCUGAGAGAUCACUCAGGGUCCGAGGGGUUGUGCCGAUGGUGGUGAUUAGAUCUCACCACGAUCAGCAGUGCUUCUCUCUCCUUGGAGGAGAGCAGGGGGGCGGUGCCGGGGCCCUGGGGCCGGAGGUGCCUGGCGCCAUCCCCCUGCCUCAGCUGCCCGCCCCUGUGGUCCAAGCGGUCAGGCUUUGGUGCUUUCCUGUUCUGUAGGGUUCACAUUGCAGUCUGGGGACAGGUGAGUGCCGGAGACCGGCCGCCUGUCCAAAAUCACCAUGGAAGUGCUUGACAAUUCCGGCAACAAGGUCUACCUGUCCGACCCCAGCGCCUGCCUUGGGGCCUGGAGUGGUGGUCCCCGGGCGGGGCGUGUCUCCCAGAGCAGCUCUCCAGGCCUCAGAGCCUCCCUGCGGGCGGGUUGUGUCCAGUGGUUUCUGGUGGUGCUGCUGGGUUGUGGGAGACUGUGCUCACUCAGUAGUGAGCAAGGGAUGUGCGUUAAAGGAAAAGAGGGCUCAAGCAGUGGUCAGGGCACUUCCGUGGUCAGUGCUCCGGAGUGUUCACCAUGGGACUCCUCCCUGGGGCCUUGGACCCGUCUGUUCACUAGCCCAGCGGGGCGGGUGUGUUUUCCCUAAAGUACCCCAGGUGAGGGCCAGUAGAAAGGGGUCAGGGUGACCUCUGUGGCCUCUGGUAGAGCCAGGCCAGAUGUGGUCUGUAGUGUGGCAGAGUAAGACCGUCACAAAGCAAAUUCUGUUUGAAAUCUUACCUAACAGUUUGUGAGUGUCAGCCGUUUUUUCUGGUGGCCCCAUCUUCUAUUCCCUUUUGGGACGAGCACAAUUUAAUUCCUUCGGUCUCAGCCCAGAGGUCAGUGGUCUUCCAGGCCUUUCUAAUCCUUCUGUCUCUGCUGCAUCCCUUCUGUUAGCCUCUGGUGAAGCCCUGAUUACCCUCCCUCAUGGUGCUUCUCCCAUUGAUAUGCCUUGUUAUGUAAUGGCUGUGUCUCCCGUGCACUGUUGGCUUCUUAAGAUCAGGGACACUGUCUGCUUUUCUGUCUAGUAAAUACAACUCCAAGCUAGAAAUGGG
ensembl:lncRNA